AAUAUAAAAAUGAAUUGUGUUUCUCUACAGGAGCAAUAAACAAACAAUGUAAAUUAUUAAAACAAUUUAUAACAGUAUCAAAACAGAACAAAAUACUGAAGAAUCUUUAACAAAAGAUGUAUAUUCUGCAAAAUACCAGACAUCACUGAAGGAAAGAAGAUGGAAGAUGGAAAUAAAUAGAAUAAAUAGAAUAUGUUCAUGGAUCAGAAGACUUAAUAUUGUACAGAGGAUGAUGGUUUCAGCCAUUUUUAUUUAAAUGUUGAAAGGAUGAUCCUGUGAGGCUGGAAGACUGCAGGAUACAGAGAUAAACAAGAUAAACAAGUGGAGGAAAAUAAAAAUCCCUCUCUACCAGGAGACAAGGGUUUGAUCCCUGAUCCAGAGGAUCCCACUUGCUGUGGAGCAACUAAGCCUGCAUGCCACAACUACUGAGCCUGUGCUUUGGAGCCCAGGAGCCGCAACUACUGAGCCUACCUGCUGCAAGUACUGAGGCCAGAGUGCCCUAGAGCCCAUGCUCUGCAAGAAGAGAUGGCACUGCAACGAGAAGCCAGUGCGCAACUAGAGAGCAGCCUUCCUCUCCACAGCUAGAGAAAGCCCGCACAGCAGCAAAGACCCAGCGCAGCCAAAACUAAAGACUUACAACAACAACGACAGUAAGGAAGUGUGCUGGCACACACACCUGGAGAUCCUGAGCUGGGGGGUACCUGAGGGUUGGCUUCAGUGUUCCUCUACGUUUACUCUCUUUGGGUUGGUAUCAAGAUGGCUGCCACAGUCUCUCUUUCACCACACCCAUAUCAUAGCAAGAAAAGAGGACUCUUCCAUUCCAAGCUUUCAAGCAAAGAGACUGAAAUUGCUUCUGAUUGGAACACCGUCAUGUGUUUAUCCCUGAACCAAUGAUUGUCGCGGGGGAAUGGAAUGAAAGUACUGAUCUUCUUAAACCAUCUCCUGAGCCUGAAG
ensembl:lncRNA